AAGGUUUGGAUUAAUUAACCCAAGGGGUAUAAGUGUAUAUUUACCUCUUUAAUGAAACCUAUUUUUGUGACUUUGAGCCUUGAGUGCUACUUUGGGAACAAAAACUUGGUUUGGUGCUAUCCUAGUCUUUUUCUCUUUUUUUUAUGUUGUUGACAAAAAAGAUUCGGGUGUAAAAUGUAUCAAAUUACUAAAAAAUUUCUGUUUUAAAUUAACAUUUUCUAAAUAAUUAAUUUGGUUUCAUAGUUCAAGAACAUCUAAUUAUAUAAAAAUAUGUUUGAUUGCCACGUCAUUAAGUGGAGGAAGAAAAACUUGCCACGUGUCGUUGUGUUUCCUUAUAUGAGCCUCGCGAAAUAAUGUUUGGGUUUUAACGUAUUACUCAACAAAUCUAACCCAAUACAGAGAGUUGUGUCUUCUCCAAGUCGCCGCUACCGAAAUCUCUCUGACACGAACAAUGGAGUUUCGAGAUAUUGAGUGAGUCGAAUCGAUUUGAAGAAGCUCUUGUGAAUCUUCGAGUAGCAUUGUUUCGGCUUCUAUUCUAUUCGUCAGUUUCGAUUUGCCGAAGCCAUUAUCACACUUCUUAACUACAUCGUCUUCCUCUUCAAGGCGGUGUAUCUACACUAUAUAAAGUUGGCUCAACACAAGCCACGUGGUGGUUGAAGAUCUUUGCUGCCUCCAUUCACUGUGAAGCGGGCUUUCUCGAAAGGCUAUGGCGAAGUUUCUCUGUGAGGAGAUGAGUUGAGAUGAGAGUUCUUGGUUCUCUUUGAAGAAAUUGAUCGACGGUUCAAGACAAUUACUCCAUUAGCGCAGGUGAAACUCUGGGAAGAGCUUUCAUGGUGUUUGGUUUGGUAGCCGGCGGCGUUGAGGAAGUUCAAUUCUUCGGCACUGUUUUAAUGGAAACACCAACUCACUUAAUCUCCAUCUCUUUGGGACGACAUCACCGCCGUGGUAACAUGCUUUCUUAAUGUCGGUGUGGUAACCUCAGCCUUUCUGCAUAUUCAAACGCAUCUUAUUGACAAUCAAAUUUUGAUGCAUGUUUUUUCUCAACAUACAGAGCUUCCAUGAACACUUGGUUAGAAGCAAACUCAUUACCAAAAUGAAUAUAAUCUUGGAAUGUUUUGCUAAAUUGAGUAUUCGUCAUUAGCUGAAGGAUCUUCUUCUUAUGAUCAGAACGAUAAGAUUCAAGGAAAAGAAGCUUCAGAACCUUGCCUUGCUGGAAGAAAAGAAAAGAAACUGAAAGAUUAAGCUCUGCUCUUCCACCAAAACCAAGGAAAUUAGUUGCACAUAAGGUAAAGGUAUGUUAAUUCUUUGCCCAAAAAGAAGAUGAUCCUACACAAAGCAAUUGUUGUUUCUGGGAAUUUUCAGAAGUUGAUGAAAGUAGCAUUUACUGUACGUGUUCUCCAUGUGAAAGAACUUAGUGUACUUGGGUUCCUUUUUGUAUUUGAUUCAGCUUAAGUUACAAUGUUGUGUUUCUUCAAAGCUUUUUAGAUGCAAGUUGUUUUCUCUUCUCUAUGAUUGUUGUAAAGUUGUGAUGUGAUCAUCUUUGAUCACUAAGUUUAAGUACAACGUAAAUUUGAAACUUUUUGAGUGGUAAUAUGUUUGAAAUUGACUACCGGUUUAAAACUUUGAACAAUGAUACAAUGAUUUCUAUAUGUUUUUUUACAAAAGAUUUUCUUGAAUAUAUUAAAUAAUGUUUACAAAGAAAACUAUUGAGAGAACCUCCUCAAAACUAUUGAGGAGAAGAGAAGAAGAGUAUUCACUUGUUAGAAUCCGGCCAUCCUCCAUCUCUUAUUUCCUGGAGGAUGGCCGGAUUCUAACAAGUGAAUACUCUUCUUCUCUUCUCCUCUUUUGCCGUAUGUUUUGUGUAUUGAAUUGUCUCCUUUGAAGAACAUAAUAUUGGCAAAAGAAUCUUUAAAAUUUUUAAGCACCCUAAAAUAAGAGCCUUGCAAUGGAGGAGGAAAAAUGUCAAGUUGCUUAGCUAAGUCUCUUACCCAAAUUAUCUCCUUAAAUACUAUUAUUAUAUUAUUAAGCAACCCAUUAUGAGUUGGUAGGAUAAUGAUGCUCUAAUGGACCUUAAACAUGAUAGAACAAGUCAAACAUCAUAGUAAAAAAUCUACAAUGUUGUCCAUAACAAGUAUUGUGAAUUAAAGAAAAAGAUAAAAGACCAAGAACUAAUAAACACAAUAUAAAAAAUGAAAAUUUAAAUACUACGAUAAUUGAAAAUAUUUGUUUAUAAAAACAGUAGAGGAAAAAAAACUAAUUAAAAUAUAACUUCAACACCAAUAUUAAGAUAUUGGAGAAUUUGUCGAAUAUAAAUACGAAUUAGAAUAUUUAAAAAUAAUUAUGUUAUAUUGGUAGAGAAAUAAUGUGAUAAUUUGUCACUAACUUGGACAAUAUUUUUUUUUUACAAUAAAAUAUAGAAAGAGGCAGGGAAAUAAUUUGUAUAAUUACAAAUUUAUAUUUUAUGCUUCGUAAAUACAAUAGAACACAACACUAUACAAAUGUAAUAUUACAUGUCAGAUAUAUAUAAAGAUAUAUAUUAUAAUUACAAUUCUAUUAUACAUUUCUAAACAAAAUAUAAUAUGAUAGUAUUUUAUCGUAACAUUACAUAUUAAAUUUUAUAAAUAUACGUUUUUAGAAUUCAAAACAUGUAAUAAAAGAAAUCUACAUUUCUUAUAGGUAAAUAGAAUAUUUGAGUAAGUAACUUUUAAACUGAAAUGUAAUUAAAAAUGAGAGGUGAAAAUGAUAAAUGAUGAAAUGGCAAUUAUACAAACAAAAAAAAACAUUCCAAACCAACACUAUAAUGAAUACAUAACCAUUAAGAGCAAGCAAUAAAUCAUACCACAGAUAAUCUCUUUUCCAAUCAAACCACCCACCUCAAGUAUAUUAGAAAACAUACAUCAUUAUUAUACAUAUCAAUUCCAUUCGUAAUUUUAACACACAAAUAACAAAAAAUAGCAAC